rnacentral:rRNA from 1 species
UACAGAGGGUGCAAGCGUUGUUCGGAAUUAUUGGGCGUAAAGCGCGUGUAGGCGGCUUUGCAAGUCGGGUGUGAAAGCCCUCGGCUCAACCGAGGAAGUGCGCCCGAAACUGCAGAGCUUGAGUACGAAAGAGGAUCGCGGAAUUCCCGGUGUAGAGGUGAAAUUCGUAGAUAUCGGGAGGAACACCUAUUGCGAAGGCAGCUAACUAAGCUUUAACUGACACUGAGGCACGAAAGUGUGGGGAUCAAACAGG